rnacentral:rRNA from 1 species
AUUGAACGCUGGCGGCAGGCCUAACACAUGCAAGUCGAACGAGUGGCGGACGGGUGAGUAAUGUCUGGGAAACUGCCCGAUGGAGGGGGAUAACUACUGGAAACGGUAGCUAAUACCGCAUACCAUCGGAUGUGCCCAGAUGGGAUUAGCUAGUAGGUGGGGUAACGGCUCACAUGGGCGACGAUCCCUAGCUGGUCUGAGAGGAUGACCAGCCACACGGGAACGGAGAAACGGCCCAGACUCCUACGGGAGGCAGAAGUGGGGAAUAUUGCACAAGGGGCGCAAGCCUGAUGCAGCCAUGCCGCGGGUAGGAAGAAGGCUUUCGGUUUGGAAAGUACUUUCAGCGAGGAGGCGUUACUCGCAGAAGAAGCACCGGCUAACUCCGUGCCAGCAGCCGCGGUAAUAC